AGAGCGAACGCUGGCGGCAGGCCUAAUACAUGCAAGUCGAACGGACCCUUCGGGGUUAGUGGCGGACGGGUGAGUAACACGUGGGAACGUGCCCUUUGGUUCGGAACAACUCAGGGAAACUUGGGCUAAUACCGAAUACGUCCGUAAGGAGAAAGAUUUAUCGCUGAAGGAUCGGCCCGCGUCUGAUUAGCUUGUUGGUGAGGUAAUGGCUCACCAAGGCUACGAUCAGUAGCUGGUCUGAGAGGAUGAUCAGCCUCACUGGGACUGAGACACGGCCCAGACUCCUACGGGAGGCAGCAGUGGGGAAUAUUGGACAAUGGGCGCAAGCCUGAUCCAGCCAUGCCGCGUGGGUGAUGAAGGCCCUAGGGUUGUAAAGCCCUUUGGCGGGGAAGAUAAUGACGGUACCCGCAGAAGAAGCCCCGGCUAACUUCGUGCCAGCAGCCGC
rnacentral:rRNA from 1 species